rnacentral:rRNA from 1 species
GAUGAACGCUAGCUACAGGCUUAACACAUGCAAGUCGAGGGGCAGCAUGGUCUUAGCUUGCUAAGGCCGAUGGCGACCGGCGCACGGGUGAGUAACGCGUAUCCAACCUGCCUUACACUCUUGGACAGCCUUCUGAAAGGGAGAUUAAUACAAGAUGUUAUCAUGAGUAAGCAUUUUCGCAUGAUUAAAGGUUUACCGGUGUAAGAUGGGGAUGCGUUCCAUUAGAUAGUAGGCGGGGUAACGGCCCACCUAGUCUUCGAUGGAUAGGGGUUCUGAGAGGAAGGUCCCCCACAUUGGAACUGAGACACGGUCCAAACUCCUACGGGAGGCAGCAGUGAGGAAUAUUGGUCAAUGGACGAGAGUCUGAACCAGCCAAGUAGCGUGAAGGAUGAAGGUUCUAUGGAUUGUAAACUUCUUUUAUACGGGAAUAAACGGAUCCACGUGUGGAUUUUUGCAUGUACCGUAUGAAUAAGGAUCGGCUAACUCCGUGCCAGCAGCCGCGGUAAUACGGAGGAUCCGAGCGUUAUCCGGAUUUAUUGGGUUUAAAGGGAGCGUAGAUGGGUUGUUAAGUCAGUUGUGAAAAUUUGCGGCUCAACCGUAAAAUUGCAAUUGAUACUGGCAGUCUUGAGUACAGUUGAGGUAGGCGGAAUUCGUGGUGUAGCGGUGAAAUGCUUAGAUAUCACGAAGAACUCCGAUUGCGAAGGCAGCUUACUAACCUGUAACUGACAUUGAUGCUCGAAAGUGUGGGUAUCAAACAGGAUUAGAUACCCUGGUAGUCCACACGGUAAACGAUGAAUACUCGCUGUAGGCGAUAUACAGUCUGCGGCCAAGCGAAAGCAUUAAGUAUUCCACCUGGGGAGUACGCCGGCAACGGUGAAACUCAAAGGAAUUGACGGGGGCCCGCACAAGCGGAGGAACAUGUGGUUUAAUUCGAUGAUACGCGAGGAACCUUACCCGGGCUUAAAUUGCAACCGAAUAUGGCGGAAACGCUAUAGCUAGCAAUAGCGGUUGUGAAGGUGCUGCAUGGUUGUCGUCAGCUCGUGCCGUGAGGUGUCGGCUUAAGUGCCAUAACGAGCGCAACCCUUGCCGAUAGUUACUAACAGGUUAUGCUGAGGACUCUGUCGGGACUGCCAUCGUAAGAUGUGAGGAAGGUGGGGAUGACGUCAAAUCAGCACGGCCCUUACGUCCGGGGCUACACACGUGUUACAAUGGGGGGUACAGAGGGCUGCUACCACGCAAGUGGAUGCCAAUCCCAAAAACCUCUCUCAGUUCGGAUUGAAGUCUGCAACCCGACUUCAUGAAGCUGGAUUCGCUAGUAAUCGCGCAUCAGCCACGGCGCGGUGAAAUACGUUCCCGGGCCU